UACGUAGGGUGCGAGCGUUGUCCGGAAUUAUUGGGCGUAAAGAGCUCGUAGGCGGUUUGUCGCGUCUGCCGUGAAAGUCCGGGGCUCAACUCCGGAUCUGCGGUGGGUACGGGCAGACUAGAGUGAUGUAGGGGAGACUGGAGUUCCCGGUGUAGCGGUGAAAUGCGCAGAUAUCGGGAAGAACACCCGUGGCGAAGGCGGCUCUCUGGGACGGUACUGACGCUGAGACGCGAAAGCGUGGGGAGCGAACAGG
rnacentral:rRNA from 1 species